rnacentral:misc_RNA from 1 species
GAUGAAGAACGUAGCGAAAUGCGAUAAGUAAUGUGAAUUGCAGAAUUCAGUGAAUCAUCGGAUCUUUGAACGCACAUUGCGCCCCUUGGUAUUCCGAGGGGCAUGCCUGUUCGAGCGUCAUUAUAACCCUUCAAGCUCAGCUUGGUGUUGGGGCCUGCUGUAACUGGUAGCCCUUAAAAUCAGUGGCAGUGCUAUUAGGCUCUAAGCGUAGUAAUUCUUCUCGCUAUAGUGUGUAGUGAGCGCUUGCCAGAACCCCAAACUUUUAUAUGAUUGACCUCGGAUCAGGUAGGGAUACCCGCUGAACUUAAGCAUAUCAAUAAGCGGAGGA